GACGAACGCUGGCGGCGUGCUUAACACAUGCAAGUCGAACGGAAAGGCCCUGCUUUUGUGGGGUGCUCGAGUGGCGAACGGGUGAGUAACACGUGAGUAACCUGCCCUUGACUUUGGGAUAACUUCAGGAAACUGGGGCUAAUACCGGAUAGGAGCUCCUGCUGCAUGGUGGGGGUUGGAAAGUUUCGGCGGUUGGGGAUGGACUCGCGGCUUAUCAGCUUGUUGGUGGGGUAGUGGCUUACCAAGGCUUUGACGGGUAGCCGGCCUGCGAGGGUGACCGGCUCCACUGGGACGGAGAUACGGCCCAGACUCGUACGGGAGGCAGCGGUGGGGAAGAUUGCACAAUGGGCGGAAGCCUGAUGCAGCAAAGCCGCGUGCGGGAUGAGGGCCUUCGGGUUGUAAACCGCUUUCGCCUGUGACGAAGCGUGAGUGACGGUAAUGGGUAAAGAAGCACCGGCUAACUACGUG
rnacentral:rRNA from 1 species